UACGUAGGGGGCAAGCGUUGUCCGGAAUCAUUGGGCGUAAAGAGCGUGUAGGCGGCCCGGUAAGUCCGCUGUGAAAGUCCAGGGCUCAACCCUGGGAUGCCGGUGGAUACUGUCGGGCUCGAGUCCGGAAGAGGAGUGUGGAAUUCCUGGUGUAGCGGUGAAAUGCGCAGAUAUCAGGAGGAACACCAGUGGCGAAGGCGAGUCCCUGGACGACUUCUGACACUGAGGCACGAAAGCUAGGGGAGCAAACAGG
rnacentral:rRNA from 1 species